CAGCCGCCGCGGUAAUACCGGCGGCCCGAGUGGCGGUCACUAUUAUUGGGCUUAAAGCGUCCGUAGCCGGGUUGGGAAGUCCUCCGGGAAAUCUGGCCGCUUAACGGUCAGAAUGCCGGAGGAUACUCCCAGCCUAGGAGCGGGAGAGGCCGAGGGUAUUCCCGGAGUAGGGGUGAAAUCCUAUAAUCCCGGGAGGACCACCUGUGGCGAAGGCGCUCGGCGGGAACGCGGCCGACGGUGAGGGACGAAGGCCAGGGGAGCAAACCGGAUUAGAUACCCGGGUAGUCCUGGCUGUAAACGAUGCGGACUUUGUGUCGGACAAGCUAUGAGCUUGUCCGGUGCCGGAGGGAAACCGUUAAGUCCGCCGCCUGGGGAGUACGGCCGCAAGGCUGAAACUUAAAGGAAUUGGCGGG
rnacentral:rRNA from 1 species